CCAGCUCGGCCACCACCACCACCAGCUCGGCCACCACCACCGUGGCCACCGCUCUACCACUGCUGGCGCUGUGCAGGAUUGUAGAGCUACCGAGCUACGGAGGUCUAUGUGGAGGAGGAGGAGGACACGAAGGAGUUUGAGAUUACGAAGGAGGUGUACAAGAGGGAAGAGGAGCAGCAGCAGCAUCAGCCGCAGGCGAAGAGGAAGCGUGGAGGCCUGGCUAGGGUGGGGCGCUCCGCCCACUCCGCUCACUCCGCUCGCUCCUCCGUCGCCUGCUGCUGUGGUGCCCGGCCCACGGCACAGUCGGUGCCAACCACCACGAGCAGCACCACCCAGCCAGCCACCUACCCCAUGAUAACACGACGACAA